GCUGCAGGAAGUAUGGUAUGCAUGGUAUUUUUAGCAAAAAAAAAAAUAGGUAUUAUAUCUUUGUCCCUCUUAUUGUCCUCCAAUGCCAGCUCUGUGAAACAGGUCUGUUGACUCAUUGUAGUUAAUGUGAAAGCGAAGUCGACUUUAUUUCAGUACUACUAACUAUGAGCCUCGGAUUAAGGUGAGUUGAUAUCUUUACACGUAUGUUCUCUUGUAGGUUGUAUGUAGGAGUAGGGAUUCCUGAUUGAUGUUUUGAUAUAGGGGUGGGGCCAAGUGGUAGGGCUGAGGUUUAUCCGAGUCACACUCAAAACAACACAAUGUGUCAUCGGCAAGUGCUGGCGAACGCUGCACAAGUAACACCCGAAAACCACAAAUGCAUUUUUUUUUUUCCAGUUAAUAAGGAUUAAUCAAUUAUGAUAAUUGUAUAAUCGGAUUCAAUGUAUUAUAGAUAUUCUAUAAAACAGAAAAUCGCCAGUAUGUUGAGGACAUUUUGAAUUUCCCCCUUUGCCGGCAUCUGAAGCCCGUUUAGGCCUACGAGCUGCUAAGUUGCUGCACUUGUCCCCGCUCCUACAGCAGACAGGACAGGAGCACGGACUGCUGGCCUACAGAGCAACCCUAUGGCCUGGUAAUGAAAGUGUGUUUUAUUUUAUUUACAUUAAUUGCAUGACUUGGUUUAUCAAUUGAUGGCGGGAAACGUCUACGUUGUAAACGUUUUGUGAGCGUUCAUGCUUCCCUGAUCUCUUUCCUGAGGUAUGCCAAAUAACCAAAGAGAGUCAGAGGAAUCCCCCAGUGGUACCAGAUCAUCUGGACUGGACCCUAGCUGUUCCUAAAGUGGUACCAUCUCAUCUGGACUGGACCCUAGCUGUUCCUAGAGUGGUACCAUCUCAUCUGGACUGGACCCCAGCUGUUCCUAGAGUGGUACCAUCUUUGGAGAUGAGGGAGUGCAACGUUGAGCUCAGUGAUGUCCAGAGGUUCAUCAGUCUGCUUUACUGCAAUCAAGGGUUGGCCCAGCAGGCAAUCCAGGGGCAGACGUUCCUGAGGUUGCUUGGCCAGGCAGCUCCACACAAAUUCAUGGCAGUCUGGAGAGAAAGAAGGUGUCUAAACAACGGUAUGUUUGUACUAGCGCUUUAUAUGUGUGUGUCCUACUUGGUGAUAGUCCACUCCAGAUGCAUGUCCAUCUCUCUUAAAUACUGGUUAUAAAGGCUCAUCUCUUGAACACAUUUGGUAAGUCAUGCCCGUUCAAGAUCAGGUUAAUUAACGAAAGGUGAUGACCAGAUUUUAAUCAGAGACCUCACAAAGGCUAUAACUCUAAUGUUUGAUAUGUAACUUCUUUACACUGUAAAGAAUAAGAUGUUUAAGAUGUGACCUUUUUAAUGUAAUUUUGAUAUGUCUUUUCAUUGUGAUGUUCUGGAAAUACAGGGCGGGAAGAUAAAUGUUAAUAGGGAACUGGAGUGGCCCGUAGUUUAAAGCAUUGUGAUUGGCCAAGUGCUGUGGUCAGAAGGUUCUUUAAAGCAGCUGAACUGGUGCAACAGCUGUGUUCCCGUCGGGAUGUGCUGGUGCUACUGUAAGAACAGAUGCUGUGCUGGGACCCGGCUGGAGACAAAUACAUACCCGGGUAGCCAUCUAUCUCCAUGUUUGAGUGGAUGGAGUCCUCCAACAUCUCCUCUCGGUUGGUAUUUGGCAUAUCUCACCGUUGGCCUCUCUCUUUAGCGGCCUGUUUGUCAAACCGCACAAUUCCACUCCAAUAGCCACUCCUGCCUUUAGUGGUUGAAGAGGAGAAGCAUUGCAGACAUGAGGCUUUGUAUUAGGAUCUAUGUCUGACCAACCUUUGCUGUGCUUGCUGAAAUGUCAUUCAGACGUGUCAAGAUGGGCUAAACAUUGGUAUUUUUUAAAAGGGCAGCAGCUAUUAACCAGUUUCACUAUUGCCCUCGCUAUUAAUGC
rnacentral:lncRNA from 1 species